rnacentral:pre_miRNA from 1 species
AGAAGGAUAGUUGGGUCAAAUGAUGGUUCCAUUCCAAGUUUUCUGAGGAAUCUUCAUACUGCUUUCCAAAGUGGUUGCACCGAUUUGUAAUCCCACCAGCAAU